AGUGGAAUUGCUAGGUCAUAUGGUAAUUUGAUAGUAACCUUCUGAGGACCUGUCAAAUUUGUUUCUAAAGCAGUGCAACAUAAUACAUUCCCACUAGCAAU
rnacentral:pre_miRNA from 1 species